GUGUGCUCCGGAAUCCUCGCCGCGUGCACACCCCAGGCCGCCAUGGCCACAAAAGACUCAGCUGCUCAAGGAAGAAGACCGGAUGAGAUUCACAGAUGAUUCGGUUUUGACCGAUCUAUGUACCAUGAGCACGCCAGAACGGGUUAACGUGGAAAUAAAACGAUCAUGUAAAGAACAUAUGCAUUUGCAGGACCAAAAAAAAGACCAGAGAAAAGAAGCAGUAGCAGAAGAGGUGGGAAUGCCAGAGACUUCUUCAUCUACGAGCUUCAAAUUGGUGGUCCGACCCUGGUGAGCUCCCUCUCUCUCUCAAGAGCCUUGCGAUUUCGCAUCUCUGCGGGCGAGCAUCUCAAUGCAGGUUCAUCACAUGUCCAUGGCGAACUGAGAAAUGCACCCAGAAAAUCGGGAAUUGUCUAUGGGAAAGAGACGAGAAGAACGUGUUGUGAGAUGUUCAGCUGGUGAAUUUGACGCAGAACCUUACAUAUCACGCGGAGAGUGUGCAGGGGAAGCUAACUUUUGCUCCG
rnacentral:lncRNA from 1 species